rnacentral:rRNA from 1 species
AACGAACGCUGGCGGCGUGCCUAACACAUGCAAGUCGAACGAGAAAGGGGCUUCGGCUCCGAGUAAAGUGGCGCACGGGUGAGUAGCACGUGGGUAACCUGCCUCUAAGAUUGGGAUAACUCGUCGAAAGAUGAGCUAAUACCGGAUAAGACCACAGUUUCUGCGGGGACAGAGGUCAAAGGUAGCCUCUGCUGGCAAGCUAUCACGUAGAGAUGGGCCUGCGCACCAUUAGCUAGUUGGUAGGGUAACGGCCUACCAAGGCAAAGAUGGUUAGCUGGUCUGAGAGGAUGAUCAGCCACACUGGAACUGAGACACGGUCCAGACUCCUACGGGAGGCAGCAGUGGGGAAUAUUGCGCAAUGGGCGAAAGCCUGACGCAGCAACGCCGCGUGAGUGAUGAAGGCCUUCGGGUCGUAAAGCUCUGUCGGAAGGAACGAAUGCUCCUGAGGUUAACAGCCUCGGGAGGUGACGGUACCUUCAAAGGAAGCACCGGCUAACUCUGUGCCAGCAGCCGCGGUAAGAC